rnacentral:rRNA from 1 species
AUUGAACGCUGGCGGUAUGCCUUACACAUGCAAGUCGAACGGCAGCACGGUUGCUUGUUCCUCGUGGCGAGUGGCGAUCGGGCGCGUAUUACAUCUGCACAUGUCUCUUCUUUUUGGUUAGCCCUGCGAAAGCCGGAUUAAUACUACUACCGCUUUCCGGCUGCAAGUGGGGGCCCUUCGUCUUCGGCGCUUUCGCGUUGGCCGAUGCCUGAUUAGCUAGUUGGUGGGGUAAAGGCCUACCAAGGCGACGAUCAGUAGCUGGUCUGAGAGGAUGACCAGCCACACUGGAACUGAGACACGGCCCAGACUCCUACGGGAGGCAGCAGUGGGGAAUAUUGGACAAUGGGCGAAAGCCUGAUCCAGCAAUACCGCGUGGGUGAAGAAGGCCUUCGGGUUGUAAAGCACUUUUGUUCGGAAAGAAAAGCUGGAGGCUAAUACAGUCGGGGGAUGACGGUACCGAAAGAAUAAGCACCGGCUAACUACGUG